UUGUAAUUUGGAGAAGGUGCUUCGGAAGAGAUGAUGGUCCAAGUCCCUUGGAACAGGGCGUCAUAGAGGGUGAGAAUCCCGUAUGUGACCGAUUAUCGCUUCCAUGUGAAGCCCUUUCGACGAGUCGAGUUGUUUGGGAAUGCAGCUCUAAAUGGGUGGUAAAUUUCAUCUAAAGCUAAAUACCUGCCAGAGACCGAUAGCGCACAAGUAGAGUGAUCGAAAGAUGAAAAGCACUUUGAAAAGAGAGUCAAACAGUACGUGAAAUUGUUGAAAGGGAAGCGCUUGCAAUCAGACUCGUUUGCAGAAGCUCAGCCUUCCUUCGGGAUGGUGUAUUCUUCUGUCAACGGGCCAGCAUCAGUUUUGACGGCUGGAUAAAGACUCUGGGAACGUAGCUCUUUUCGGAGAGUGUUAUAGCCUGGAAUGUAAUGCAGCCAGUUGAGACUGAGGUCCGCGCUUUUGCUAGGAUGCUGGCGUAAUGGUUGCUAGCGACCCGUCUUGAAACACGGACCAGUAAGUUGAUCAAUAAGCUGUCAAGUGUUCACAUGCUAAUGCCUAUUGCAGAGGAGUCGACCAAUGACGCGAGUGUUUGGGUGUAAAACCCAUGCGCGUAAUGAAAGUGAACGUAGGUAGGAGUCUUCGGACGCACUAUCGACCGAUCUUGAUGUCUUCGGAUGGAUUUGAGUACGAGCAUUAUUGGUCGGACCCGAAAGAUGGUGAACUAUGCGCGGAUAGGGUGAAGCCAGAGGAAACUCUGGUGGAGGCUCGCAGCGGUUCUGACGUGCAAAUCGAUCGUCAAAUCUACGCAUAGGGGCGAAAGGUAAUUGGAAUAUACUGUCUGAAGAAAAUUUGAGUAAGAAUGCUAACUUUGAACAGACUAAUCGAACCGUCUAGGUACGGAAUUCCCAUCAAUUUCCUCUCUAAACGGCUUACUAACUUUCCUAACAGUAGCUGGUUCCUGCCGAAGUUUCCCUCAGGAUAGCAGCAACGAAUAUAGCAGUCUCAUGAGGUAGAGCAACGAUUAGAGGCCUUGGGGACGAAAUGUCCUUAACCUAUUCUCGAACUUCGAAUAUGUGAGAAGUCCUUGUUACUUAGUUGAA
rnacentral:rRNA from 1 species